rnacentral:piRNA from 1 species
UGCAUAAAAUCCUGUGUGCCUGGGUC